rnacentral:rRNA from 1 species
UGCCUAACACAUGCAAGUCGAACGAGGGCCCCGCUUCGGUGGGACCCUAGUGGCGCACGGGUGAGUAACGCGUGGGAACCUGCCCUGUGGUACGGAAUAACUCCGGGAAACUGGAGCUAAUACCGUAUGUGUCCUUUGGGACAAAGAUUUAUCGCCAUGGGAUGGGCCCGCGUAGGAUUAGCUUGUUGGUGGGGUAACGGCCUACCAAGGCUUCGAUCCUUAGCUGGUCUGAGAGGAUGAUCAGCCACACUGGGACUGAGACACGGCCCAGACUCCUACGGGAGGCAGCAGUGGGGAAUAUUGGACAAUGGGCGCAAGCCUGAUCCAGCAAUGCCGCGUGAGUGAUGAAGGCCUUCGGGUUGUAAAGCUCUUUCGCACGCGACGAUGAUGACGGUAGCGUGAGAAGAAGCCCCGGCUAACUUCGUGCCAGCAGCCGCGGUAAUACGAAGGGGGCUAGCGUUGUUCGGAAUUACUGGGCGUAAAGGGCGCGUAGGCGGUACUUCAAGUCAGGCGUGAAAGCCCCCGGGCUCAACCUGGGAACCGCGCUUGAGACUGGAGAACUAGAGUUCGGGAGAGGAUGGUGGAAUUCCCAGUGUAGAGGUGAAAUUCGUAGAUAUUGGGAAGAACACCGAUGGCGAAGGCAGCCAUCUGGACCGACACUGACGCUGAGGCGCGAAAGCGUGGGGAGCAAACAGG